AGAGGAGAUUAUAAGGUCAACAAAACAUGAAGGGAGGGGACAGGGCUAACGUGUGGUCCUGAGAAGGUCUAGGUCAGCCUCCAGCUCCCACCCACCUCCCCACAAAGAGAGAUCAUUUUGGGAGGCGGUAGCUGCUAGGCUGCCCUAGGCCUCAGGGAAGUCUGGUCUUUUGGUCAAAUGUUUGUGGAACAGAUUUGGAAAAACGGGGGUAGAGUGGUGGAACUGUAAAAACCCAUCAGGGAGAAGGAAGAGCCUGGGGUCUAGAGGUCAAAGGUCAUGCUGGCAGUGGAAGGGAAAUGGAAACUCCUGUGGGCUGGAGCAGAAAGUGGAGGAGGAGGAACGGCCUGGAGGAGCUGCAUGCUAUUCCAGACCUGAGAACUGGAAUGGACUGUCUCAUGGGUUCUCAAAGCAUGAUCUGCAGACCAGCAACGUAAGCAUUGCCUAGGAACUUCUUAUAAAUGCAAUUCUCAGAUCCCACCCCAGAUGGACAAAAUCAGAACUCUGCAACUGAGGUCCAGCAUUCUGUUUCUGGCGUUUUAAAUUUCAGUUUUAUUUUUUAGAGACAAGGUAUUGCUGUGUCGCUCAGGCUGUACUCAAACUCCCAGGCUCAAACAAUCCUUCACCUCAGCCUCCAAAGUAACUGGGCCUAUAGGCACAUUCCACCACACCCAGCCCCUAUUUUAAUUUGCCUCUCAGGGGAUGCUGAUGACUGCUACAGUUUGAGAACAACUUAGCAAAAUGCUGUGUCUCAGGAGACCCCACACAGCAAUUCAUGAAACCAACUGUUUACUGGCCUGACUGAGCUGCUGUAACAAAUUAUUAGAAACACAGUGGCGUAAAACAAUGCAGACUUAUUCUCUUUACAGCUUUGGAGGUCAGAAGUCCAAAAUCAGAAUGACUGGGCUAAAGUCCAUGUCUCAGCAAGGCUGGUUCCUUCUGGUGGCAGUGAGGGGAGACCCCAUCCCCUCGCCAUUUCUGGCUUCUAGAACCCAUCUUUAUUCCUUGGCUUGAGCCCCUUUCUCUGUCUUCAAAGGGCAGCCACUUCAAAUGUCUUGCCAGCACAUUUCCUUCUCCCCUAAUGCUCAUCCUACUGUCAGCCUUCUACAAAUGCCCUUGUGAUUACAGUGAUUAAAAUGAACCCUCUCGGAACAAUCUCUGUAUCUCAAGAUCCUUAACUUAAUCAAAUCAGCAAAAUCCCUUUGGCCACGAAAGGCAACCUAUUCAUAGGUUCUGGAGAUUAGGAAUGUAGACAUUUUUGGGGAGGCCAUUAUCCUGUUUCCUACAGAGAGGAAGAUGAGAAAUAUGCACUUUCAUUUGCUCGUAUUCACAUAAAUAAACAGUUUUCAUGCACAAGACACUAAUAAAUCUGAUUACCUGUGAAGGAUGGGAAGCAUGAGGCGAAGGAAUGGGAGCUAGGACUUCCUUCUCAAAGUUGACUUUUUAUAUUAUUUUGGGCUUUGGGCCAGGCAAAUAUAUUACCUUUUACACAAUGUUAACCACCAAAAAAUAAAGAGAAUGAGACCCCUUUUAGUAAUUUCUGGCUGUUGAACCAUUCUGUUUGAAUAUGACAUGUCAGAGAUCAAACCACUGGGACCUUUGGAGUCCUAGAGUUUACAAGUACUGAAAGCAAAAGCAUUUUAGUGGUGAUGUAGGUAGCAGGCGAAGAAACAGCAUCUUGCUUGGGCAUGAACAAGACAAGAUAGGCACUAAGUCAAAGAUGAGGGACUAAGCUUGACCUUCAAGGAAAGUUAAAGUUUUGGACUUGGUUCAUGUUUUUGAGUUAAAAAGUUCUGCAGAUCUUCCAAAUGCCCAACAAAGGAAGAGGGGUUGAGAUGCCCAUUCCUUUCUCCUUAAUUAAAAAAAAAUAACAAAGUAUUAUGUCCACUAAACCACCUUUGCAAAAAUUACAGUAGUAAGGGAAAUCUAA